rnacentral:lncRNA from 1 species
CAAAAGCUGGAACUGAGCUGGCAAAGAAGAAAGCCAAAAAACCCCUCCCUCUAUUAACAGUUAUGGGCUUCUCCCAAGCCUGUCUCUGCUGCUUGGAAUAACUUUCAGUGGAGGUCCUCGCUCUGCUGCUUGAAAUAACUCAGCUUUACCUAAGGAGCAGUAUACUAAUUCAGAUAAACUGAAUGCAUUUUAGUUCCCUGCUAAGCAGGUAGAGAAUUGCUUCUCUGUGGAAGUGACUAUGUCCCGUUUUAUAUGUCAGUCAUUUAUAUUUGUGAUUCAUAGUUAUUUACAAAUCUGUCUUGAAAGAAAUUUAUAGAGAGAGCUCCAGAUGAAUAACUCCUGAAAGGAUAAAUGUGAACUACGAGAGUGCGUUGUGUUCCGAGGCAUUUCAUCAUAGCACGGGGUCUGCCCAAUGGUUUGCUGACUACCCCACAAGCCCAGGAUUAGGGGAAAAACAUGAAGCUCUGUUUGAACCCUUCAGGAAAUGAAACUGUACUUGGCUCUGAGCUUUCAGUAGGCCAUGCUGCACAGCACGAUGACAAAACUGGCAUGCUAAUUUGGAGUUUGCUAUUCCUGAAUGAUGCUAAAAGGCCCAACGCCGUCCAUUAAAACGUUCAACUUGAAAAAGAGUGAACCUGAAAACACAUCAUCCCUGAUCCCAGCGUGGGAGGUGGCAGAGGAAUGCAGGCACAAAUACGCAGAGCAUGCAGCCCGAGGCCGGGCUCAGAGCCAGGAGAGGGAAUCUUCUGUAGCAACAGAUGAAGGAGGAAGAACCCCAAAGGAGGGCCACCAGUACUUUGCCAGAUGGGACCUGGAGCCAGGUGUGCAAAUCCGGACCUGCUGGUGGAUGACGGAGCCGCCCGCUGGUCCUGGAGCCCCAGCAGCAUGGGCUGCAGGUUGCAGCUCUGCCCAUCGCUGGGAGCACCAGGAGGAACGCGAAGCCAAAGAGCUCCGACAGGUGCCUGCACCGAUUCUGCAGCCCACGGCAGGUUUAGAAAGCUGAGAAGUGAAUCCAUUGAUAACAAAAUUCUAAAGCCCUGGUGUUGGUACAGCAGCCCUCCAUUAACACUGGGCAUUGAGAAGCAUGGGAGCCAACAGCAGAACUGUCAGAGCUCAAAUUGUUCAGAAGAGUGUUCCAUCUGUGCUGAAAUAAUGGGACAAAACGAGAAUCAAAGGUUAUGGACUUCGAUAUCAGCAUAUAUCUGAUAGGAGUCACGUACCUGAUCCCAGCUCCACCCCAUACAAGCACCUAUAUUGGGGUGACACAGAUGAGCCAAAUGGUCACUUCCACAUUUUAUGCACAAAGAAGUCAAAUCCCAAACGUCCAUUUUGAGUUCCACUUAAACGCAAUGUCUUAACGCACUCAGUUACGUGGGAGCGCCUGCGCAGAGCUGUGUGUGGCACACUGCGGGCCCUCGUGGAGAUUCUGCAGGCCAGGAAGGCCUGGGAUGUGCUCUGUGGCAUCUGCAGAAUGCCUUAACCCCACCCGGGGGGCAGCGUGGGGCACAGAUCUGCCUCCAAACUGAGAUCCCCCUUAACUCAGACCCCGGUCCUGUGUGCGUGCGGCACAGGGUCCAGCUGUUGGUUAGACUUCCUUACGGUGUUUUCUUUAAUGAGAAAGCUGUACAGGACAGGUCCACGUGUAAAUAAGGGAUUGCGUUUAUGUAGAUGUUAAUAUUUACAUGUAAAAAGUUAUGUACAUAGGAAAGAAAAUAAUGGCUCAAAGAAUGUUUUAAAAAUAGUUUCUUCUGUCUAAAGGCACAGGACAGCGACACAGACGUGCUGCUGAGCUCAACGUAAGCUCAGCUUCGUGCUCGGCUUGGGGAUGCUCGGGGCUCAGUCCUGGGGGCUGAGGGGCUCUGGGCAGCCCCAGCCCUGCUCCAAACAGGGUGGAGGAGCACACACUGAACGCGUUGCCCACUCACUGCUGCUCUGCUAUGGCAGCCUUAUUUCACCUACCGGAGUUUGGAAAGAGCGUGCAGUGUUUUAUCUGCAGCACGGGG